UACAGAGGCCUCGAGCGUUAGGCGGAAUCACUGGGCUUAAAGCGUGUGUAGGCGGACUUCUAAGUACCUUGUGAAAUCCCACGGCUCACCCGUGGAACUGCUUGGUAUACUGGUCGUCUUGAGCCUUCUAGGGGCGAGUGGAACAAAUGGUGGAGCGGUGAAAUGCGUAGAUAUCAUUUGGAACGCCAAUGGUGAAAACAACUCGCUGGGGAAGUGCUGACGCUGAGACACGAAAGCCAGGGGAGCGAACGGGG
rnacentral:rRNA from 1 species